rnacentral:rRNA from 1 species
CAGCCGCCGCGGGAAUACGUAUGUCACAAGCGUUAUCCGGAUUUAUUGGGCGUAAAGCGCGUCUAGGUGGUUAUGUAAGUCUGAUGUGAAAAUGCAGGGCUCAACUCUGUAUUGCGUUGGAAACUGUGUAACUAGAGUACUGGAGGGGUAAGCGGAACUACAAGUGUAGAGGUGAAAUUCGUAGAUAUUUGUAGGAAUGCCGAUGGGGAAGCCAGCUUACUGGACAGAUACUGACGCUAAAGCGCGAAAGCGUGGGUAGCAAACAGGAUUAGAUACCCGAGUAGUCCCUGUCUCUUAUACA